ACUACAUCAUGUUGAAACACUGGUUCCUGUAUGAUCACUGAAGUUAAGCAACGUCAAGUCUAGUCAGCACCAAGAUGGGUAACCACUUGGAAAUACUAGGUGCUGUAA